CCUACGGGAGGCAGCAGUAAGGAAUAUUGGUCAAUGGAGGCAACUCUGAACCAGCCAUGCCGCGUGCAGGAUGACGGCCCUAUGGGUUGUAAACUGCUUUUAUACAAGAGAAAACCCUGGUACGUGUACCAGGUUGAUAGUAUUGUAAGAAUAAGCAUCGGCUAACUUCGUGCCAGCAGCCGCGGUAAGACGAAGGAUGCAAGCGUUAUCCGGAUUCAUUGGGUUUAAAGGGUGCGUAGGCGGACUGAUAAGUCAGUGGUGAAAUCUCUUUGCUUAACAAAGAAACUGCCAUUGAUACUGUCGGUCUAGAGUAUAGAUGACGUUGGCGGAAUAUGACAUGUAGUGGUGAAAUACUUAGAUAUGUCAUAGAACACCGAUUGCGAAGGCAGCUAACGAAACUAUAACUGACGCUGAGGCACGAAAGUGCGGGGAUCAAACAGGAUUAGAUACCCUGGUAGUCCGCACCGUAAACGAUGAUUACUCGUUGUUGGCGAUAUGACAGUCAGCGACCAAGCGAAAGCGAUAAGUAAUCCACCUGGGGAGUACGCCGGCAACGGUGAAACUCAAAGGAAUUAGACGG
rnacentral:rRNA from 1 species